UACGUAGGGUGCGAGCGUUAAUCGGAAUUACUGGGCGUAAAGCGUGCGCAGGCGGUUCGUUGUGUCGGCGGUGAAAGCCCCGGGCUUAACCUGGGAAUGGCCGUUGAAACUGGCGAACUGGAGUGUGGCAGGAGGGGGGUGGAAUUCCGCGUGUAGCAGUGAAAUGCGUAGAGAAUGUAGAGGAACACCGAUGGCGAAGGCAGCCCCCUGGGUCAAGAUUGACGCUCAUGCACGAAAGCGUGGGGAGCAAACAGG
rnacentral:rRNA from 1 species